rnacentral:pre_miRNA from 1 species
CAUCGACACCCUCCGUCCGGAAAUAUUUGUCGGAAAAUAGAUGAAUCUAGAUAUAUUUUAGUUCUAGACACAUCUAUUUUUAUCUAUUUAUACGACAAGUAAUUCGGACGGAUGGGGUAUAUA